UAAUUAUACACCAUUGAGUGCAGCGUUGAUGAAAUUCUCUUGUUAGCUUACUUAGCUAUUUUCUCACGAUGGCGUGGAAUCAUUUCACCAGCGCUGCAUUCAACCAUGUUUUUC
rnacentral:pre_miRNA from 13 species